UACGUAGGUGGCAAGCGUUUGUCCGGAUUUACUGGGCGUAAAGAGCGCGCAGGCGGUCGUUCAAGUCGCGUGUGAAAGCCCCCGGCUCAACUGGGGAGGGUCACGCGAUACUGAUCGACUCGAAGGCAGGAGAGGGUAGUGGAAUUCCCGGUGUAGUGGUGAAAUGCGUAGAUAUCGGGAGGAACACCAGUGGCGAAGGCGACUACCUGGCCUGUUCUUGACGCUGAGCGCGAAGCUAGGGAGCAACGGGA
rnacentral:rRNA from 1 species